rnacentral:rRNA from 1 species
GACGUAGGGUGCGAGCGUUGUCCGGAUUUAUUGGGCGUAAAGAGCUCGUAGGCGGCUCGUCGCGUCGACCGUGAAAACCCGCGGCUUAACUGCGGGCUUGCGGUUGAUACGGGCGGGCUAGAGUUCGGUAGGGGAGACUGGAAUUCCUGGUGUAGCGGUGAAAUGCGCAGAUAUCAGGAGGAACACCGGUGGCGAAGGCGGGUCUCUGGGCCGGUACUGACGCUGAGACGCGAAAGCGUGGGGAGCGAACAGG